rnacentral:rRNA from 1 species
UGGUUGAAAAAGUUGGUGGUGAAAUCCCAGAGCUUAACUCUGGAACUGCCAUCAAAACUUUUCAGCUAGAGUAUGAUAGAGGAAAGCAGAAUUUCUAGUGUAGAGGUGAAAUUCGUAGAUAUUAGAAAGAAUACCAAUUGCGAAGGCAGCUUUCUGGAUCAUUACUGACACUGAGGAACGAAAGCAUGGGUAGCGAAGAGGAUUAGAUACCCUCGUAGUCCAUGCCGUAAACGAUGUGUGUUAGACGUUGGAAAUUUAUUUUCAGUGUCGCAGCGAAAGCGAUAAACACACCGCCUGGGGAGUACGACCGCAAGGUUAAAACUCAAAUGAAUUGACGGGGACCCGCACAAGUAGUGGAGCAUGUGGUUUAAUUCGAAGAUACGCGCAGAACCUUACCAACACUUGACAUGUUCGUCGCGACUUUAAGAGAUUAAAGUUUUCGGUUCGGCCGGACGAAACACAGGUGCUGCAUGGCUGUCGUCAGCUCGUGUCGUGAGAUGUUGGGUUAAGUCCCGCAACGAGCGCAACCCUCACUUUUAGUUGCCAUCAUUAAGUUGGGCACUCUGAAAGAACUGCCAGUGAUAAGCUGGAGGAAGGUGGGGAUGACGUCAAGUCCUCAUGGCCCUUACGUGUUGGGCUACACACGUGCUACAAUGGUAUUUACAACAGGAAGCAAGACGGCGACGUCAAGCAAAUCCUUAAAAAAUACCUCAGUUCGGAUUGCACUCUGCAACUCGAGUGCAUGAAGCUGGAAUUACUAGUAAUCGUGGAUCAGCGUGCCACGGUGAAUGCGUUCCCGGGUCUUGUACACACCGCCCGUCACACCAUGGGAGUUGGUUCUACCUUAAGGCAAGGUUUUAAACCCUUGACCACGG